rnacentral:misc_RNA from 1 species
AGUGCUAUUUGAGACCAUUAACCCGUCUUCGUUUGUAAGAUAUUCUUCAUGCAUGAAAAAUCCAAUUCCUUGAACAAAUGCCCCUUCAAUCUGUCCCAAAUCAAUGGCUGGAUUCAAGCUCUGCCCGCAGUCAUAAAUAAUAUCCGAUUGCAAAAUAGUAGUCUCUCCAGUCAAAAUAUCAAUCUCCACCUCACUGACAGCAGCG